GGUCGUGGCUCAGUGGUAGAGCGCUUGCCUAGCAUGUGUGAGGCCCUGGGUUCAAUUCUCAGCACCA
rnacentral:tRNA from 1 species